CGGCAAGUAGCAACAAGGGACCUCAGGACAAGCUAGGAGAACAGGCAGGAAUCUCGCCACACCACAGCUUCCUCUUUUACUUUUUCCUGCAGCGAAAAGAGAGAAGUGAGAAAGCUAUUGAGGCUUAAGAACCCAAAUGAUACUCUUUAAAACUAUGGAAGGAUUUGGUCAGCAACGGAUCAUGGUGAACUUUUUGCCACGCAAGCCUGGUGACCUGAUGUCAAUUCCUAGAAUGCUUGUAAAGGUAGAGGGAAAGAGUCGACUCGGCAAAGUUGUCCUCUGACCUCUGUA
rnacentral:sRNA from 1 species